CGGCAUGCCCGGUGCGCCUCGUGCCCGGCGUGCGGCCAGUCGUUCUUGGCUCCAUUUCUUAAAUCCGAGCAUUUGGGGAGCUUUUGGUUGGUUUGAUUCGUGCAAAGACAUGUGUUGAUGCUACUCCAUGAGUGAAUUUGAUUGAAUCAACACGAGCACGAAGAAUCGAACCAAUUUUGUUUUGGGGAGAAAACUGCAUUCUUGCGCAUGAUCUGAAAUUCCUGGAGUUUGAGUUCAAAUUGAGCCAUGACGCUUUCGGGAUAGCUUACCAACUCCAUAGAGAUCACCUGUGCAAAGUUUGGGAGCGAUUCCUUUUGAUUUGAUCAAGUUUGGGGCGUUUUUCUUUUAUCCCAUCUCUCUUCUCUUCUGGCUUCCUCAUCUGUUCGUUGCUCGGCAGAGCAGAGCUGUGGCCGGCACCAGCAGGACGACCAUCCAGCGAGGGAGUGCGGCAGCCAUCAUCCCAUCUCCGACAUUUAUGGUACGUGUACCCAUGAUUCAACCCAAGAAUGAUUGAUUUCUCAUUCUUUGCUAAUUGCCGUGUUCUAUAAAAUUUAUAAUGAAAGGAUUUAGAUAUGGACUCAAUUAAUUAGAAGAUAAAUUUGAGCAAUCAUGUGUGCAGUUUACGUUUGUUGAAAUAUCUACGAGUACAAAUUGAUCAAUAGUAUUGCCACAUUAUGGUAGCACUAUUCACCUUUGAUCAACCUACUGAAAUCACAUUUUCUUUUAUAUUUUUUUCUUUCUAUAGAAUUACCCAUUUCAUGUCACAUUUCAAAUGAAGCUCAAUUACAGUUGCUGGGAUGGAACUGGGCAUAGGAGAGCUACCCUGGUUAAUUUCUAUCUGUUACUGGACUGUUUCUUCUGUGUCUUAAGUUUCUAGACUUAGGAGUUUAUACGAUUAAAACAUAGCCUACUAGGAAAGGAUUUUUGCACAGAAUAACAGUUUUGAGGUAAUAUGCGAGUUCACAUAAAUAAUCCUCAAGGCGAGUGCUGAUAUGUCCUUAUGUAUGAAGCACAUAUAUUUUGAAUUUAAUUGAUGUUGAUAGUACUGAUAGAUAUUAACUAUUUGCAGCAGAGAUUCUUGGCUUCUGCAAUUUUAUCUCACAUUCUUCUGAAGAGCAAUCUUUAGCUGCUGUGCAAGAGUAUCUGAUGUUUUCAAACAUAUAUGACCUCACUGCUGUGCUGGAGAACAGAUAGCUUUGAACUAUUUGGUGAUCAUUCCCAGUUUUGCAUGGCACGUGGAAGUCUUUGGAUCUUUGAGAAAAUGGCUCUAUCUAUCCAUAAGUGAUAUCGAUGGUUAUAUCUUCUAUUAGCAGAUUGGAUGAGGAAAGGUUUAUCACGUUAUGAUUGUGUGCUCUACAAUUAAAUACUGAUGCUAACAUGAAUGGUGGGACAAUAAACUUUAGUAUGGCAUUAAGAACUUCCAUAAUGCAAUGUUGUUUGCUUGAAGUACAUUGAUGUAUUGUUUCCUUUUGCUUGAAGUAAAUUGAUGUAUUAUUUCCUUCUGAACUUCCAUAAUGCAAUGGUCUCUGCCAUUUGUAUCUAAAAGAAUUUAAAAUUACUUAAGAAAAUGGCUAAUCAAUUUGUCAAUGGUUCAGUGUA